AGAGUUUGAUCCUGGCUCAGGAUGAACGCUGGCGGCGUGCCUAAUACAUGCAAGUCGAGCGAACAGACGAGGAGCUUGCUCCUCUGACGUUAGCGGCGGACGGGUGAGUAACACGUGGGUAACCUACCUAUAAGACUGGGAUAACUCCGGGAAACCGGGGCUAAUACCGGAUAAUACAUGAAACCGCAUGGUUUCAUGAUGAAAGACGGUUUUGCUGUCACUUAUAGAUGGACCCGCGGCGUAUUAGCUAGUUGGUAAGGUAACGGCUUACCAAGGCAACGAUACGUAGCCGACCUGAGAGGGUGAUCGGCCACACUGGAACUGAGACACGGUCCAGACUCCUACGGGAGGCAGCAGUAGGGAAUCUUCCGCAAUGGGCGAAAGCCUGACGGAGCAACGCCGCGUGAGUGAUGAAGGUCUUCGGAUCGUAAAACUCUGUUAUUAGGGAAGAACAAGGAUGUAAGUAACUGUGCAUCCCUUGACGGUACCUAAUCAGAAAGCCACGGCUAACUACGUGCCAGCAGCCGCGGUAAUACGUAGGUGGCAAGCGUUAUCCGGAAUUAUUGGGCGUAAAGCGCGCGUAGGCGGUUUUUUAAGUCUGAUGUGAAAGCCCACGGCUCAACCGUGGAGGGUCAUUGGAAACUGGAAAACUUGAGUGCAGAAGAGGAAAGUGGAAUUCCAUGUGUAGCGGUGAAAUGCGCAGAGAUAUGGAGGAACACCAGUGGCGAAGGCGACUUUCUGGUCUGCAACUGACGCUGAUGUGCGAAAGCGUGGGGAUCAAACAGGAUUAGAUACCCUGGUAGUCCACGCCGUAAACGAUGAGUGCUAAGUGUUAGGGGGUUUCCGCCCCUUAGUGCUGCAGCUAACGCAUUAAGCACUCCGCCUGGGGAGUACGGCCGCAAGGCUGAAACU
rnacentral:rRNA from 1 species